GGGGGCGAUCCGGUUUCGACCUGGCCCGGACGCCAGAGGCGGCAUGCCGAGGACGAUGCGUUGGCCUCGUUAAUCAUCGCAUCAAAAGAAAACUGCUAACGAAGAGUUGGCUCUCGCGGCCUGAAGUUGCCGCGACGUUCGCCGGCUGACGCCUGCUGGGCCGGACGAACGCCAUAGCAGGCUGGGAUCUGCGCGGAGACGGCGCGCGCGGGUCCGAGAUCCUUCCCAUGCUGUCUGGGGCAGUCGGAUGCGGGUCCGCAGGCGACCGGCUGCCGACACCUACUGCGGACUAAGCAUGU
rnacentral:tmRNA from 1 species